GGGUAUAUUGCUCAACAGUAGAGCAUUUGCCUAACAUGCAUAGGGCCCUGGGUUUAAUCCCCAGCACCA
rnacentral:tRNA from 1 species